rnacentral:rRNA from 1 species
GACGAACGCUGGCGGCGUGCUUAACACAUGCAAGUCGAACGGAAAGGCCCUGCUUUUGUGCGGUGCUCGAGUGGCGAACGGGUGCGUAACACGUGAGUAACCUGCCCUUGACUUUGGGAUAACUUCAGGAAACUGGGGCUAAUCCCGGAUAGGAGCUCCUGCUGCAUGGUAGGCGUUGGAACGUUUCGGCGGUUGGGGUUGGAUGCGCGGCUUAUGAGCUUGUUGGUGGGGUAGUGGCUUACCAAGGCUUUGGCGGGUAGCCGGCCUGGGAGGGUGACCGGGCACAAUGGGACUACGGGAGGGCCCAGAGGCCAACGGGGGGCAGCAGUGGCAAAUAUUGCACAAUGGGCCGAAGCCGGAUGCAACAACGCCGCGUGCGGGAUGACGGUCUUCGGGGAGUAAACCGCUUUCGCCUGUGACGAAGCGUUUGUGACGGUAAUGGGUAAAGAAGCACCGGCUAACUACGCG